UGCUUUGGCGGCUCCGGCCGCCAAAGGACCUUCAAACUCCAGUCAGUAAACGCAGACGUCUGAUAAACAAGUUAAUAAACUAAAACUUUCAACAACGGAUCUCUUGGUUCUGGCAUCGAUGAAGAACGCAGCGAAAUGCGAUAAGUAAUGUGAAUUGCAGAAUUCAGUGAAUCAUCGAAUCUUUGAACGCACAUUGCGCCCCUUGGUAUUCCGGGGGGCAUGCCUGUUCGAGCGUCAUUACAACCCUCAAGCUCUGCUUGGAAUUGGGCACCGUCCUCACUGCGGACGCGCCUCAAAGACCUCGGCGGUGGCUGUUCAGCCCUCAAGCGUAGUAGAAUACACCUCGCUUUGGAGCGGUUGGCGUCGCCCGCCGGACGAACCUUCUGAACUUUUCUCAAGGUUGACCUCGGAUCAGGUAGGGAUACCCGCUGAACUUAAGCAUAUCAAUAAGCGGAGGAAAAGAAACCAACAGGGAUUGCCUUAGUAACGGCGAGUGAAGCGGCAACAGCUCAAAUUUGAAAGCUGGCCCUUUUAGGGUCCGCAUUGUAAUUUGUAGAGGAUGAUUCGGCGAGGGCUCCUGCCUAAGUCCCCUGGAACGGGGCGUCAUAGAGGGUGAGAAUCCCGUAUGCGGUAGGUUGCCUUAGCCAUGUGAAUCUCCUUCGACGAGUCGAGUUGUUUGGGAAUGCAGCUCUAAAUGGGAGGUAAAUUUCUUCUAAAGCUAAAUACCGGCCAGAGACCGAUAGCGCACAAGUAGAGUGAUCGAAAGAUGAAAAGCACUUUGGAAAGAGAGUUAAAAAGUACGUGAAAUUGUUGAAAGGGAAGCGCUUGCAACCAGACUUGUCCGCAGUUGCUCAGCCGGUCUCCUGAMCGGCGUACUCUUCUGCGGCCAGGCCAGCAUCAGUUCGGGCGGUCGGAUAAAGGCCUCGGGAA
rnacentral:rRNA from 1 species